rnacentral:rRNA from 1 species
UACAGAGGGGGCAAGCGUUGUUCGGAAUUACUGGGCGUAAAGGGCGCGUAGGCGGCCCGUUAAGUCGAACGUGAAAUCCCCGGGCUCAACCUGGGAAUUGCGAUGGAGACUGCAAGGCUAGAAUCUGGCAGAGGGGGGUAGAAUUCCACGUGUAGCAGUGAAAUGCGUAGAGAUGUGGAGGAACACCGAUGGCGAAGGCAGCCCCCUGGGUCAAGAUUGACGCUCAUGCACGAAGCGUGGGGAGCAAACAAGG